CCUACGGGAGACAGCAGUGGGGGAUAUUGGACAAUGGGGGAAACCCUGAUCCAGCGACGCCGCGUGAGUGCAGAAGUAUUUCGGUAUGUAAAGCUCUGUCAGCAGGGAAGAAAGAAAUGACGGUACCUGACCAAGAAGCCCCGGCUAACUACGUGCCAGCAGCCGAGGUAAUACGUAGGGGGCAAGCGUUAUCCGGAAUUACUGGGUGGAAAGGGCGCGUAGACGGUGAUUCAAGUCUGGAGGGAAAGGCGAGGGACCAACCCCCGGACUGCUCUGGAAUCUUGGUAAUUUGAGUGCAGGAGAGGUAAGCGGAAUUCCUAGUGUAGCGGUGGAAUGCGUAGAUAUUAGGAGGAACACCAGUGGCGAAGGCGGCUUACUGGACUGUAACUGACGUUGAGGCUCGAAAGCGUGGGGAGCAAACAGGAUUAGAUACCCCAGUAGUC
rnacentral:rRNA from 1 species